CGAACGGGUGAGUAACGCGUGGGGAAUCUGCCUUUGAGCGGGGGACAACAUUUGGAAACGAAUGCUAAUACCGCAUAAAAACUUUAAACACAAGUUUUAAGUUUGAAAGAUGCAAUUGCAUCACUCAAAGAUGAUCCCGCGUUGUAUUAGCUAGUUGGUGAGGUAAAGGCUCACCAAGGCGAUGAUACAUAGCCGACCUGAGAGGGUGAUCGGCCACAUUGGGACUGAGACACGGCCCAAACUCCUACGGGAGGCAGCAUG
rnacentral:rRNA from 1 species